rnacentral:rRNA from 1 species
UACGUAGGGGGCAAGCGUUGUCCGGAAUCAUUGGGCGUAAAGAGCGUGUAGGCGGCUCGAUAAGUCUGCUGUGAAAGUCCAGGGCUCAACCCUGGAAGGCCGGUGGAAACUGUCGGGCUAGAGUCCGGAAGAGGCGAGUGGAAUUCCCGGUGUAGCGGUGAAAUGCACAGAUAUCGGGAGGAACACCAAUGGCGAAGGCAGCUCGCUGGGACGGUACUGACGCUGAGACGCGAAAGCGUGGGGAGCAAACAGG